UACGUAGGUGGCGAGCGUUGUCCGGAAUUACUGGGCGUAAAGGGUGCGCAGGCGGUUAGAUAAGUCAGAUGUGAAAUUCCGGGGCUUAACUUCGGAAUUGCAUUUGAAACUGUCUGGCUAGAGUGCAGGAGAGGGAAGCGGAAUUCCUAGUGUAGCGGUGAAAUGCGUAGAUAUUAGGAAGAACACCAGUGGCGAAGGCGGCUUUCUGGACUGUAACUGACGCUGAGGCACGAAAGCGUGGGGAGCAAAC
rnacentral:rRNA from 1 species